AUCGUUUGCAUGAUAAAAAGUUAAUAAAUCUUGAUUUUUCAAGUAUAAUGAUACAUUUCCUUACCUAAAAUAUGAAUAUGUGAAUAAAUAUUUAAAGACAUUUCUCUUGUAUAUAUAAAUAAUUAUCAUUAAUUUAUUUGUGACUUUUUGUCUACCUAAUUUGUGACUUACUGCCCUGCCCUGUGACUUUCUAUCCGUUUACCUUUUUUUUUUUUUAACCUGAUCAGUUUUAAUUAAUUGUCAACUAAUUCUUGAUACAACACUUUUUUUUUUAAGCAAAAAUGUUUAUGGUUUUGUAUUUUACAAAUGUUUAGAGUUACCAUGUCAUCAAUAAAAGUUCAACCAAACAAAUAAAUGUUUUCUUCCUUAUUAAUUUCAAUUUUGACUGUUUUU
rnacentral:lncRNA from 1 species